rnacentral:piRNA from 1 species
UGUUUCGGGACCCCUUCCGCAGA